rfam:Capsicum annuum cultivar Zunla-1 unplaced genomic scaffold scaffold189, whole genome shotgun sequence
UGUUGGUGAUGUGGGCAAUCUUCGAGUAGAGACUUGAAUCUCUCCCAAUCAUUAUAAAGAUUCUCAUUUGGCUUUUACUUGAAACUCAGGAUCACACUUCUCAAUCU